rnacentral:rRNA from 1 species
AAUCAACGCUGGCGGCGUGCCUAACACAUGCAAGUCGAACGGGAAGGGGGCUUCGGCCCCCGGAGAGUGGCGUACGGGUGAGUAACACGUGGGUAAUCUGCCUUUGGGUGGGGAAUAACGUCCCGAAAGGGACGCUAAUACCGCAUAACGCAGCGGCACCGCAUGGUGACAGUUGUUAAAGGGGGGAUCCUGCAAGGGACCUCUCGCCUGAAGAGGAGCCCGCGCCCGAUUAGCUAGUUGGAGAGGAAUGGCUCACCAAGGCUUCGAUCGGUAGCCGGCCUGAGAGGGCGGUCGGCCACACUGGCACUGAGACACGGGCCAGACUCCUACGGGAGCAGCAGUGGGGAAUUUGGGCAAUGGGCGAAAGCCUGACCCAGCAACGCCGCGUGAAGGACGAAA